AAACCAGCACCUCAAGUGGUCAGGAUGAUUAUUGGGCCUAAAGCAUCCGUAGCCGGCUCUAUAAGUUUUCGGUUAAAUCUGUACGCUUAACGUACAGGCCGCCGGGAAUACUGCAGAGCUAGGGAGUGGGAGAGGUAGACGGUACUCGGGAGGAAGUGGUAAAAUGCUUUGAUCUCUCGAUGACCACCUGUGGCGAAGGCGGUCUACCAGAACACGUCCGACGGUGAGGGAUGAAAGCUGGGGGAGCAAACCGGAUUAGAAACCCCGGUAGUCC
rnacentral:rRNA from 1 species